UCCCUGGUGGUCCAGUGGCUAAGACUCUGCACUCCCAGUGCAGGGGGCCCAGGUUUGAUUCCUGGCCAGGGAA
rnacentral:tRNA from 2 species